AACGCAUAUUGCGCCCAAGGCUCCGGCCAAGGGCAUGUCUGCCUCAGCGUCGGCAUAUCCCCAUCGCCCCCACAACGUGGUGAGCGGAUUUGGCAGUCCCAUUAGGGUCGGCCGAAUUGCAGUGGUUGCUGUUAAGACCCGCCUCUCGGCGUGGCCGUUCAGUUCGGUAGGUGACCCUUGGUUGCAUGCCACUGUUGGCCAUUGUGUCCUGAUGCAGCAUACCGGCAGGAAAUGAUGCCCUUUGGGGCACCCCACUCAUUUCGACCUGAGGUCAGGCAAGAUCACCCGCUGAACUUAA
rnacentral:misc_RNA from 1 species